CAUGCGUACGCAUGGUUUGGAGGAAAAGGAGAAUUGGCGACACAGACGGUGUGGUGGUGAACUGAAGUCAGACCGAAGAAUUGCAGAGCUCAGCAGAAGAUGCAGCCGGGAGAAUUCAAGAUCUUAGAUUAAGUGUAAACAGUUCUUUCACUCCUAAUGAACACCUUUUGGGCCACAUGAAAAAAUAUGUUAUUAUUAUAUUGUGCAUCCUUGGUGCUGACACCGCUGGUAAACACAAGAGAAAAAAAAAAGGGAUGGGGGAUAGGGGGUGAAACACCACUUCCUUUUUUUUGGGUGGAAUUAGGAUAUAUCUAUUUAAUUUUUUACCUCCAUUUUGCUCCACAGAGUGACUAGAGACGCAGCCUGUCAGACAGAGAGCUCGGGGGCUCUGCAAACCGAGGAGAACCGGAAUCCUUCAAAGAGAACCGAGGCGUUCCAAGUGCCAGAACAUGGUGUGCACCGCAUAAGAGAAGAGCUGGACGUUGUCUGUUCGAAACCCGCAAAGAGACAGCGGCACUACGACACUGAAUCCUAUGAUGGAUCUCCCCCACGCCUCCCCCUUCCAGACGAUGUCACAGACUGGCACGCCAACAGCAAGAGCCUGUGAUCUGGAGGGGAGCUACACAUCACAGAUAGCCCUUCAUCUCAGCAGGCGGACGGCAGGGCCUGGGUGAGGGUGACCGUGAAGGAUGAAGGCGAGGA
ensembl:lncRNA